GGCAGCCAAUGAACUGGAUACGGAGGUAGGAAACUGCUGAAGCUUCUAGGAUCCUGAAGAGGCAGAGGGUCAUAGAAGAUUUGCCAGCUCCUGUUCUUCCAACUAUCCCAACCUAAUUUGUACAUUUGGAAAAUCAGGAAUAACAUUUAGUCAAACUCAAAACACAGACCACAGAAUGACAAGCCUAAGAAAGACAAGCUGCAAGAAUAAAAGUCCUAAAAAGGAAUCCCAUAUAGCCAAAUCAGCAUAAGCAUAAAGAAAGGAAAAGAAAAACAGUAUGGUGCCAUUUUGCCUUUGCUCCUCCUCCAGGCCAUCCAUGGGGCGUGCUGGGGAACUGUCUUGUCUCCCAUACAAACUGGUCCUCAUAUAUACUGUGAAAACACAUGGAUGCAGAAUUCACAGGCUCACUGAAUUCAGUGCAGAGACCCAUCCACUGAAUGAAGCUGAAAAUCCUGGCCUGCCAAUCCACAAUGUUGCUUUCCAGGUCAGAUGUCAUUCGUACCAUCCAGUUCAGAGCCAUCGUCACCUACGCAACAAUGAAGAUGUGUCAUCCACAUCACAGAUGUGUCAUCACAAAAAUAUCACAGAUAGGCUGCCACCUUUGUGUUUAUUAUAUUUAAAACUAUUUCUCUAUAAAGCAUCUUGAAACACU